GGAAAAGAGAAAUUCCAGAUUUAAGUUUCAAGGCCAUCUGUGUAACUUUUCAUAAUAUUUCUUCACAGGGAAUGGUUUCUAAUUUCAUGGAAGGUGAAGAGUAAGAUAUAGACAUCUGUGGAGGCCUUCAAUAGUUAAUCCUGGAAAUAUCUGGGAAAGCACUUUUCUAGGAAGAAAAAGAAAGAAGAGUUUUAAUUCAAGCAUUAUAUGUAAAAUCCACAAAGAACCACAGAUUAUCUAUCCUGUUGGGAGCCUGGAGAAUGCAUUGCCACAGAAGUAUGAAUAAAUUCUCUUCAGUGAAGACCCUGAAGAACAUAUUUGUAUACAAUCCUGAGUAUCCCCUGAAAACCUGUUUUUAUGGAGAAACUUUAGAAGUGUUCAUUGAUUUGGGUUAUAGAUUCUUAUCUGUCGCCCGGUUUGGAGUACAGUGGCACAACUGUAGCUCACCACAGCCUCAACCUUCUGGACUCUAGCAAUCCUUCUGCCUCAGCCUCCCAAGUAGCUGGGACGACAGGUCGGUGCCACCAUGCCCAGCUAAUUUUAAGUUUUUUUUUUUUUGUGAAGAUGGGAUCUUACCAUGUUGCCCAGGCUUGUCUCAAACACCUGGACUCAAGUUAUCCUCCCUGCUCAGCCUCUCAAAGUGCUGGGAUUACAGGCAUGAG
rnacentral:lncRNA from 10 species